rnacentral:rRNA from 1 species
UAGGGAAUCUUCGGCAAUGGACGAAAGUCUGACCGAGCAACGCCGCGUGAGUGAAGAAGGUUUUCGGAUCGUAAAACUCUGUUGUUAGAGAAGAACAAGGACGUUAGUAACUGAACGUCCCCUGACGGUAUCUAACCAGAAAGCCACGGCUAACUACGUGCCAGCAGCCGCGGUAAUACGUAGGUGGCAAGCGUUGUCCGGAUUUAUUGUGCGUAAAGCGAGCGCAGGCGGUUUCUUAAGUGUGAUGUGAAAGGCCCCGGCUCAACCGGGGAGGGUGAUUGGAAACUGGGAGACUUGAGUGCAGAAGAGGAGAGUGGAAUUCCAUGUGUAGCGGUGAAAUGCGUAGAUAUAUGGAGGAACACCAGUGGCGAAGGCGGCUCUCUGGUCUGUAACUGACGCUGAGGCAAGAAAGCGUGGGGAGCAAACAGG